AAUGGAUUUGCUGCAAAGUGGCAAAUGUACUAGAGAACUUCCAUAUACUCCUCAUCGAAUUCUAUUAUUAGAAUCUUACUAUUAUUGGUCACAAGGAAGCAACAUGGAACAGUAGUAUUGACUAAGCUCCGUGCUUUAUUUGGAUUUUACUAGCUUUCCCCUUUCCGGGAUGCCCUCCAGAAUACCGCAUUACAUGUAACUGUCAUGUCUCCUUAAUUUUCUCCGCCUAAUGAGAGACUCUCAGAGUUCACUUGUUUUACACGAACUUGACAGCUUUUGUCGAUGUACAUGGUCGGGUGUUUUUGGGUUUGUCUAGUAUUUUCCGCAAGGGAGAACUGGGGUUAUGAGGUUUCGGGAGGAAUACCAGAGAUGAACUACCCUUCUUACAUAUGGUGAACCCAACAUCAACAUGAUUACUAUUAAUCCUCAUCACGUGACCAGGGACUAUCAGCCAGGUUUCUCCACUGUAGUUAAUAUUCUCCCCUUUGCACAAUGUACUCUCUGGAAGCAAGUCACUAAGCAUAGAUGGCAAUCAAGGCGGGGGAGGAGGCAGAAAUUGAGCUCCAUAUCCAGGAAGGAUUUGAACUUCGGUAAAGAUGGUACCGGGAGAGCUACUCUAAAGAACGUGAAGUGGGGCGGGACUAACCGAGUAAAGGGGCGAGGCCGGGUCGGCCGGGGAAGGAAAGGGCGGGGUCAAGGCAAAGUUUGGCAGGUAGGGCCUGACGCUGUCGGCUAGGACGCUACCUCGGCCCGAGUCGGUGGAUGGAGGGACCAGGCGGGCCCUGGAGGCUUUAGGGGCCCGGUCGGGACGCACGCCAGAGGAGGUACAAAGAACAGUGCUUAUCAUACAACUGGAAAGAAAGGCAAAGAAAAAGCUUUUAUAUUAGAUUGGGCACCUGAACAGAAACUGCAGUUUUGAUAUGAAGAUGGGAAGAGGAAGAACAAGCCGGAUCAGAAGACGGAAACUCUUCAGAAGUUCUGUAUCAAGAGGAGUGAAUGAGAGCUACAAGCCUGAAUUUAUAGAGCUUAAGAAGUGGCUGAAAGAUAGAAAGUUUGAAGAUACAAACUUAAUACCUGCUUGUUUUCCAGGUACAGGAAGAGGGCUGAUGAGCAAAACAUCCUUGCAGGAGGGACAGGUGAUUAUUUCGUUGCCUGAGACUUGCCUGCUCACCACGGACACAGUGAUUAGAAGCUACUUAGGAGCGUACAUCGCUAAAUGGCGGCCUCCUCCAUCUCCUCUGCUGGCUCUGUGUACCUUUCUGGUUUCAGAAAAGCAUGCUGGGGACCAGUCCGUCUGGAAACCUUACCUAGAGAUUUUACCAAAGGCCUACACCUGCCCCGUUUGCUUGGAGCCAGAAGUGGUGAAUCUUUUUCCCAAACCCUUGAGAGCAAAGGCCGAAGAGCAGAGAGCCCGUGUGCGAGAGUUCUUUUCUUCCUCCAGAGGCUUUUUCUCUUCCCUGCAGCCUCUGUUUUCCGAGGCCGUCGGGAGCAUCUUUAGCUACCGUGCCCUCCUGUGGGCCUGGUGUACGGUCAACACCAGGGCCGUGUAUGUGAAGCCCAGGCGGAGGCGCUGCUUUUCCGCGGAGCCAGACACCUGUGCGCUUGCCCCGUACCUGGAUCUGCUGAACCACAGCCCCCAUGUGCAGGUAGAAGCAGCAUUUAAUGAGGAAACUCGCUGUUAUGAAAUUAGAACAGCUUCAAGCUGUAGGAAACAUGAAGAGGUGUUCAUCUGCUAUGGCCCUCAUGAUAAUCAGCGACUGCUCCUGGAGUAUGGAUUCGUUUCCAUCCAUAAUCCUCACGCUUGUGUUUAUGUCUCAGAAGAUAUACUUGUUAAAUAUCUUCCAUCAACAGAUAAACAGAUGAACAAGAAGAUUUCCAUUUUAAAGGAUCAUGACUUUAUUGAAAAUUUGACAUUUGGAUGGGAUGGACCAUCUUGGAGGUUACUCACAGCGCUUAAGCUGUUAUGUCUGGAAGCUGAAGAAUUUACAUGCUGGAAAAAAAUACUUCUUGGAGAAAUCAUUUCAGAUACAAAUGAGAAGAGAAGUUUGGACAUAGCCCAGAAAAUAUGCCAUUAUUUCAUAGAGGAGACCAAUGCAGUGCUUCAAAAGGUUUCUCAUAUGAAAGAUGAAGAAGUGGCUUCGGUAAACCAACUAACUUUGGUAGAAACAUUGUGGACAGAAGAGCUAAAGAUUCUGCAGGCCUCUGCUCUGAUUCUAAACAGUUUGCAAACACCUUUUAGAGAGAGUGCAAGCUGGGGAGGAGUAGAGAGAGAAGGAGACAGAGGAUCCGAAGCAGGGGCUCAAACCCACGAACUGUGAGAUCAUGACCUGAGCCCAAACCAAGAAUCGGAUGCUUCACUGACUGAGCCACCCAGGCGCCCCUUGUUUGCAUGUUCUAGUAGGCAACUUCAUCGACCUCAUUGGGCAGACUGGCGACAAGGAGCCAGGCAGCACCCAGGGACACAGUACAGCCUCCGCGACAGGGUGUGGAGGCUUUUUAAAGCCACAUAACCUAAUAGAAGGACACCUUCGUCCCUGUUCCAGACGUGUAUACGUGCGUCCUCGUAAGGAAAGGACACAGGACGUCAGAGUUCAUGGCAAGCCACCUUCCGAGAUCAGGUGAGAGCUUACCUGUCCUCAAAAUGCACGGGUGGAGAGCCCGCUGCUUUCCUGCACUAGACGGUGUGCCUCGCUUGCCCUUCCUUGUGGCAAAGUCAGAAAACAGUCUUGGGUUUGAAUCGUGGACUUGACCUCUUGCUGCCACUGUGGGCCUGGCCUUUGAGAUCCAGUGUCUCCAUCUGCGGCUGGGGUCGUAUUCCGGAGUCACUUCAAGGUGAGCUGCUGGCCUUAAAAAGUCCUUUGAUAUUUUGGUUUAAGCUGCUGUCCCGUUUGAGGCACCGACAGAUUCAAGUAACAGCUGGAGCCCUUUGUUCCUAACUCUCUCAUCUCAAGUUUCUGGGUGGAUUUCUUUUUGGAGAUAAUAGUCUAUGAAUCACCUUUGAAAUGAGAAUUUAUCAGUUUAGGCACUGUUCUCUUUGAAUUGUCAGAGUAAGAAUAAAAGUAACUCCCUGAAGUGUUGCUUCCUAGAUCCACUGCAAAGAUGGAGAGGAAUCCCCCAGCCCCCUUCAUCCCCAUCCGGGGACUAUGCUUGCUUGCUUGCUUUUUUAUUUGAGUAUCCUUGACACCCAAUGUUGCGUUAGUUUCAAGUGUAUAACGUAGUGAUUCAGCAAGUCUAUACGUUAUGCUGUGUUCACAAGCGUAGCUGCCAUCUGUUAACAUACAGGUCAUUACAACACCCUGACUGUAUUCCCUGUGCUGUGCCUUUUAUCCCUGUGACUUAUCGGUUCCAUAAUGGGAAGCUUGAACGUGCCACUCCCCUUUGCCCAUUCGCCCCACACCCUUUCCCUCUGGCGACCAUCAGCUGGUUCUCUGUAUUUGUAGGUCUGAUUCUGCUUUUUGUCUGUUUAUCCAUUUUUUUUUUUUUAGAUUUCAUAUAUGAAUGAAACCAUACGCUUUUUGACUAUCUCAGUCUGACUUGUUUUAUUUAGUGUAAUACCCUGUAGGGCCAUCCGUGUUG